CCUUAGCUGACCCCUCUCGAUGUGGAGGAGCAGAGGAGUGACUGAGCUUUUUUUACCCUAUCUCUAAGAGAGCGUCCGGCCGCCCUGCAGAGGUAGCUCAUUUCCGCCGCUCGUAUUUGUUCUUUUCCCAUCAAGCCAGUCCGGCUUGUUAGGACUCCUUCUUCAUCUUUACAGCCUCCCUUACUUCCAUUGUCCGCCACAGGGUUCAGAGAUUGCCACCGCGACAGGCACCUAAGACCUUGUGAUCCGAACAGCAGCAGAGACAACAUUGACUCGGACCAACCCUCCUCUUCCUCAUCUAAUCCCUUGGUCCUCUUCAGCUCCAUCAAUAUCCUGCAGCUUUGGGAUUGCACUGGAAGAGAUGGUGUAGCCCAGAAGAACCAAAGUGGACCAUGUAGACGCUCUAAAACUUAAUGUGCAUCGUCUGGCAACAUGUGGAUGUGCUUGGUGGCUCCACCCAGGUUUGCUCUUUAACCAGUUUCAUUGCAAUUUUUUCCCCCCAGUGCAUCCAUUCCCUGCACCCUGUCCUAGGUUUGGAUCACAUGUGGUACAGUCUAAGCACACUGCGAAAACAAGCCCCUAGAAAUAAGUCAGUCUCCUCCCAUUGUUAUUUAUUUAUUUAUUUUUUUGCUUAUUUAAAAAAAAAACUGCCCAUAGGGGUAAGAAAAAUAGUUUUACCACUACUGUUCCUAGGCCAAAUAAGAUAGAACUUUUCCAGCUUCUUCCAGUUGGAAAACAGCCAGAACAUUGACCUACAGGAGGGCAUCUGACCAACACUUCUAUGAAAUGUCAAAGUAAAAGAACUUUUAUGUCUUUGCCUCGUUGGAGUUAACAUAAAGAAUACCCUUCCAGAAGUCUCUCCAAGUCUUCAGUGCAUAAAUGGUAAAUCUUUAUCCCAUGGAAAGUGCUAUAUACUGGAUUUCUCUCCCUGAUCUAACAGAACUUCACUUGCAGUCCACACUUUGUCUAUUUUUCUGCUUUUUUUCUUUUAAGAUACUGUAUACUUAACCCCUGAUGCCUAUUGAUACAAAUAUGCAUCAAACCAGUUCAGCUCCAAAAUUACAUUCGUUUAACAUCGAUUUGAAAGCAAAAACAUACAGUUCAUAGCUGGAAAUAAAUUAAGAUACCAAGGGGUUGAACACUGCUGAUUGAUUGCUGGAAGUGUUUUUUUAUCUGUCAAUAUAAAACAUUGGUGUUAUGCAGAGGGCAAAAGAAAAAAGAAAAACCAAGAGUACUAAACAGCUGUAGGCUCUGAACUAUAAUCUGAGCAGAUUUAUAUUUAAAAAUGUAAUCACGCAGACUUGGAGAGCAACAACAUUUAUUUUAUGGAUAUAAGCAAAUAAAUGAUAUUAACAUACAUUUUGGAACAACAGUAAACCCCAGCAAUUAGUUACUUUUCCAGUGACAUUUGAGACGGGUAUGCAUAUGUUUUUUUUUCCUCAAGUCAACGUCAUGGAACAACACUGAUGUAAAGGAACAAUCCCAGCACUGCAAAAA